rnacentral:rRNA from 1 species
AUUGAACGCUGGCGGCAUGCUUUACACAUGCAAGUCGAACGGCAGCGGGGAGGAGCUUGCUUCUCUGCCGGCGAGGGGCGAACGGGUGAGUAAUACAUCGGAACGUGUCGAGAAGAGGGGGAUACCCACCCGAAAGGGUGGCUAAUACCGCAUAAAUUCUGAGGAAGAAAGCUGGGGACUUAGGAAUAGGCCUAGCGCUUUUUGAGCGGCCGAUGUCUGAUUAGCUAGUUGGGGGGGUAAAGGCCCACCAAGGCGAAGAUCGGUAGCGGGUCUGAGAGGAUGAUCGGCCACACUGGAACUGAGACACGGACCAGACUCCUACGGGCGGCAGCAGUGGGGAAGUUUGGACAAUGGGGGCAAGCAUGAUCCAGCCAUGCCGCGUGUAUGAAGAAGGCAUUAGGGUUGUAAAGUACUUUUGUUAGGGAAGAAAAGUAAGCUGUGAAUAAUGGCUGAUACUGACGGUACCUAAAGAAUAAGCACCGGCUAACUACGUG